CUUCCCGGAAACGAAAGUCUUCCGGUUCCGGGGGAAGUAUGGUUGCAAAGCUGAAACUUAAAGGAAUUGACGGAAGGGCACCACCAGGAGUGGAGCCUGCGGCUUAAUUUGACUCAACACGGGGAAACUCACCCGGCCCGGACACCGUAAGGAUUGACAGAUUGAUAGCUCUUUCAUGAUUCGGUGGUUGGUGGUGCAUGGCCGUUCUUAGUUCGUGGAUCGAUUUGUCUGGUUUAUUCCGAUAACGAGCGAGACUCUAGCCUACUAAAUAGUAACGAGAUUAUCAAUGUCUCAGUUGCUUCUUAGAGGGAUUUUCGGUGUUUAGCCGCACGAGAUUGAGCAAUAACAGGUCUGUGAUGCCCUUAGAUGUCCGGGGCUGCACGCGCGCUACACUGGCGAAAUCAGCGUGCUGUAUCCAUUCUCGAAAGGGAUUGGUAAACCCAUGAAAAUUUGCCGUGCUUGGGAUCGGAAAUUGCAAUUAUUUUCCGUGAACGAGGAAUUCCAAGUAAGUGCGAGUCAUCAACUCGCUCUGAUUACGUC
rnacentral:rRNA from 1 species